rnacentral:rRNA from 1 species
CAGCGCCGCGGUAAUACCGGCGGCCCGAGUGGCGGUCACUAUUAUUGGGCUUAAAGCGUCCGUAGCCGGGGUGGGAAGUCCUCCGGGAAAUCUGGCCGCUUAACGGUCAGAAUUCCGGGAGAUACUCCCAGCCUAGGGAGCGGGAGAGGCCGAGGGUAUUCCCGGAGUAGGGGUGGAAUCCUAUAAUCCCGGGAGGACCACCUGUGGCGAAGGCGCUCGGCUGGAACGCGUCCGACGGUGAGGGACGAAGGCCAGGGGAGCAAACCGGAUUAGAUACCCGGGUAGUCCUGGCUGUAAACGAUGCGGACUUUGUGUCGGACAAGCUAUGAGCUUGUCCGGUGCCGGAGGGAAACCGUUAAGUCCGCCGCCUGGGGAGUACGGCCGCAAGGCUGAAACUUAAAGGAAUUGGCGGG